AUGAUCUGGGCUCCAGUUCUCCUCACUUUCCUCUCUUAUAGCACAGGGUCUUGUGCUGAGGUUGUGUUCACCCAGCCCCAAUCUGUGUCUGGAUCUUUGGGCCAGGAGAUCAGCAUAUCCUGCACCCGCAGCAGUGGAAACAUUGCAAGUAAUUAUGUAUACUGGUAUCAGCAGCAUUCGUCGAACAAACCCCGUCUGCUCAUCUACAAAUAUGAUCAAAGACCCUCUGGAAUUCCAGACCGGUUCUCUGGCUCCAAGGACACCUCCGCCAACUCUGGCAUUUUAACUAUUUCCAGGUUGCAGCCUGAGGAUGAAGGUGACUACUAUUGUCUGUCUGGUUAUGACAGCUAUUUCACACAGAGAACCAGACUUAAGGGGAACUGA